CCGAGAGGCAGAGGUUGCAGUGAGCCGACAUGAGGCCACUUCACUCCAGCCUAGGCAACAGAGUGAGACUCGGUAUCAAAAAAAACAAAAAAGAAAAAAUGUGAGCAGUUGGGAAGCAAUAAUAUGAAAAAUGAGAGCAAAAGUAACUGCAACAUUGGGGAAGACUAAACAACGUCGCUUCUGGCGUUGGCUUAUGGAUGACCACCCUGCUUUCUUCACGUUUUAACUGUCUGGAGUCCAGAAAUUAGCAAUGCACCUCCUUGGCAUAUCAGGAUGCCAACAAGCACCCUUGUCCCCAGUUUCAGGACUCGGCGGCGUACUUUCCCAAUACGCAUUCCCUUAUUCUCAAUCCGGUUAGAAGCAAAGAAGUAAUACCACCCACCAAUACUUUCCUUAUACAACACAAAAACACACACACACAUACACAACACCACAUAAUGAAACCAACGCGAAUGUAAGUAAAUCUGUUCUUUGUAAAACGUGUUUUGACCCUCUUUGGAAACACGGCAAUACCAAGUCGAUGCGCAGAGUGGAAAAAACCAGCUCCUAUUUCAUCUUUCUAUUCCAAAACCCCACUUAAAUAUAUCGUCCUCAGACCAAAAAAAAUCAGUUAUUCAACUGAAAAAAACAUGCUACAUUGGAUCUUAGUCAAAAAGCCAAAAAAGAAACAAGCCCUUUCUUUCGGCCACAGCACUCCUUCUCCCACUCAUCCUGAGGUCACGUAACCAUGAUCACGACCACAUUUGAGAAUCAGGGCUCUUUGCAGCUGGGGCAAUACUUCUGGAUCGGGAGCAACUUAUCAUGGAGGACCUGGUAUUAGAGGACACGUUGACAACAUAGAAUAAUACAGAUAAACUCCUACUUCUAGAAACCAAGAGGAGCAACAAAGCCAAAAUAUAUUAGAGGAAUUUGAAGAGGAAGAACUAUAAAGUCAGGAGGGGGAAAAUUGCCAGAAACAAUGGCUAACCAGUUGCCUCAGCAUCAUAUAUGGAGCAGCCCACCUUUUCAUCAGUCUGAGAUGCCACUUUUAUCAUAUAAUAAAGGCCUCAUAUAUACUUAGGUCUAUUUCUGAAACUUUCUUUUAAACAAAAGAGCCUUC
rnacentral:lncRNA from 1 species